GAUGGGUAGUUUGACUGGUGCGGUCGCCUCCUAAAGGGUAACGGAGGCGCCCAAAGGUUCCCUCAUCCUGGUUGGUAAUCAGGUGGUGAGUGUAAGUGCACAAGGGGGCUUGACUGUGAGACUGACAGGUCGAGCAGGGACGAAAGUCGGGACUAGUGAUCUGACGGUGGCUUGUGGAUGCGCCGUCACUCAACGGAUAAAAGGUACCCCGGGGAUAACAGGCUGAUCUUGCCCGAGCGCUCAUAGCGACGGCAUGGUUUGGCACCUCGAUGUCGGCUCGUCACAUCCUGGGGCUGGAGAAGGUCCCAAGGGUUGGGCUGUUCGCC
rnacentral:rRNA from 16 species